rnacentral:tRNA from 1 species
AUAGUCAUGGCAUAGUGGUUUCAGUGUUCGACUAUGACUCUGGAGAUCAGGGUUCAAUUCCUUGCUUGAUCAUG